rnacentral:rRNA from 1 species
ACUUAGAGUUUGAUCAUGGCUCAGGACGAACGCUGGCGGCGUGCUUAACACAUGCAAGUCGAACGAGGCCCUGCCUUCGGGCAGGUGACCUAGUGGCGAACGGGUGAGUAACACGUGGGCAACCUACCCUCAGCUCUGGGAUAACCCCGGGAAACCGGAGCUAAUACCGGAUACGACCUGGAAGGACAUCCUUCUUGGUGGAAAGUUUUUCGGCUGAGGAUGGGCCCGCGGCCUAUCAGCUUGUUGGUGGGGUAAUGGCCCACCAAGGCGACGACGGGUAGCCGGCCUGAGAGGGCGAUCGGCCACACUGGGACUGAGACACGGCCCAGACUCCUACGGGAGGCAGCAGUGGGGAAUAUUGCGCAAUGGGCGAAAGCCUGACGCAGCCACGCCGCGUGAGUGAAGAAGGCCUUCGGGUUGUAAAGCUCUGUCGGGCGGGACGAAUAGUCUCGGUGUUAACAGCAUCGAGAUCUGACGGUACCGCCAAAGGAAGCACCGGCUAACUUCGUGCCAGCAGCCGCGGUACGCC